CCUCAGCGACCCCAGGCAUUCGGAGCAGCAUCUCCUCAGAUGCAGGCGAACGGUGCCGGUGGGUGAGAACCUGAAUGGGUCGCUGCACAUGAACAGCCUCUCAGUUCCUUCAUUCCCCUCCUCACGCGGGGUGGGGAGCGCACACGCGAGCCCCCUUUGAGAAAUGUCAGCGUCCGUGUGCUGGGGAAGUCGGGGGCCCUUCACGAGCCAUCAGGCCCGCUGUCACGCGGCGGCGGCCAAAUGGAGACUGACAGGCCGCUCCGCAGAGCCUAACCAUCUGUACCAAAUGUGACAGCGGGGGAACGAGGAUGUCUGGGAAAUCAGGAGGAACGACAGGCGUGCAGUGUGACAAGGAGGAAGUGGAGAAGGAAGAGAUCCUUCACUCCUUAAAGGACGGGCACGUGGAGGUCCAGCAGCUGAACCUCAUUCAUGAGUCGCUCUCCCAAGUUUCCAAACUGCAGCGUUUUUUCCCGGAGCGGCAGCUCGGAGAAGCUCGGGAGCUCCUUAUGGAGCGGCAUGUGGGGCGGCUGACAGGAGCACUCUAUUACCACUCAGAGGAAGGAACCUGGGGGAGGCGGCGACGCCGCUGCCGGCCGCAUCCAGCUGUGCUGAUGCUGAUGCUGAUGCUGAUGCUGAUGCCUCGCGACUCCACCCAUGCAAACGACGGGAACGUGCGGGAAGACGGACGACCACGCGCUGACCUCCGACCCCAGACGAGCCUCCGCUCCGUCUCCGCUGCAUGAGUUCGGGGCCCGCGGUGGAAUAUCUCACAGGUCCCCUCUCAGCCUGCGCUGCCGGGUGCAUUAACUAAACUCAUAUCGCUCUCAGCCACUAUCAAUUAUUCACCGCCCCCUCCCCGUUUCCCCUCUUCCCCCCUAGUUUUCAAAGGAGAAGAACGCCCGACAGCCGUUACCGCUUUAUUGGGCCCAGCCUUCGGUGACUGUCGCUACCGUCGCUACAGUUCUUUAACUUACGUCACUGAGCUGGAGCUUAUAGCUAAAUGUACUGGUUUGCCAUAUUUCCAGUAUGUGAAUGAGUGGGUGAGCAUCCUAUCACUGCUCACUUUCUGUAUGUUUGCAUUAAUUAUUAUUGAAGUACAGUCUGCUCAUAGUUACCU